UAUGCUGUUAGCUUGACUAGAGUGCUGUUCCAGACAAGUUUUCUUUUGACCUUUAUUUUGCAAGUCAUGGAAGCUAUGCACAAAAAGAUUAGAAUAUGUUGCGAUUUGCAAGUCAUGGAAGCUAUGCACAAAAAGAUUAGAAUAUGUUGCGAUUUGCAAGUCAUGGAAGCUAUGCACAAAAAGAUUAGAAUAUGUUGUGAUUAACUUACAGGAGAAUGUGUCACAAGCGAUUAGGACACUUGAAGGAAGUUGAUUUAGGCCAGCCCCUUGAAAUUUCUUUUUCUUCAUUUUUUUGGCUUCCUCCCCCUCCUUAUUCUAUCAUUUUUUUUUUUUGAAAUUUCCUUUUUAUGAAGUGCAGUGUAGAUAUCCUCACCACAGUCCUAGAAAGAGAAAGGAGAAAUCCUCAAAAAAGAAAGAGAGAGAGAGAGA
rnacentral:misc_RNA from 1 species